rnacentral:rRNA from 1 species
GAGUUUGAUCGUGGCUCAGAAUGAACGCUGGCGGCGUGGAUUAGGCAUGCAAGUCGCACGAGACCCGAUCUUCGGAAAGGGAAAAGUGGCGACCUGGUUAGUACAAGUUGGGUAAUCUGCCCGGAAGUGGGGGAUAACUCCGAGAAAUCGGGGCCAAUACCGCAUGUGGACCCGGGGGCUUCGGCCUCUUUGUCCAAAGCAGUGAUGCGCUUCCGGAUGAGCCCGACUCCCAUUAGCUUGUUGGCGGGGUAACGGCCCACCAAGGCUACGAUGGGUAGCUGGCCUGAGAGGGUGGUCAGCAACACGAGGACUGAGAUACGGCCUCGACUCCUACGGGGGGCAGCAGUCUAGAAGCUUCGGCAAUGGGCGAAAGCCUGACCGAGCGACGCCGCGUGUGGGAUGAAGCCUCUUGGGGUGUAAACCACUUUCGACCGGGAAGAACGUCCGGAUGGCGAAUUCGGAUUUGACGGUACCGGGAGAAGAAGCACCGGCUAACUUCGUGCCAGCCGCCGCCGUAAC